ensembl:misc_RNA Y_RNA Y RNA
GGCUGGUCUGAUGGUAGUGGGUUAUCAGAACUUAUUAACAUUAGUGUUACUAAAGUUAGUAUUAAACCCCCCACUGCUAAAUUUGACUGGCUAUAA